rnacentral:rRNA from 1 species
UAGGGAAUAUUGCACAAUGGGCGAAAGCCUGAUGCAGCAACGCCGCGUGCGCGAUGACGGCCUUCGGGUUGUAAAGCGCUUUUCGAGGAGAUGAGGAAGGACAGUAUCCCCGGAAUAAGGCUCGGCUAACUACGUGCCAGCGGCCGCGGUAACACGUAGGAGCCAAGCGUUAUCCGAAUUCACUGGGCGUAAAGCGCGUGUAGGCGGCUUGGUAAGUUGGAUGUGAAAGCUCCUGGCUCAACUGGGAGAGGACGUUCAAUACUGCCGGGCUAGAGGGCGACAGAGGGAGGUGGAAUUCCCGGUGUAGUGGUGAAAUGCGUAGAUAUCGGGAGGAACACCAGUGGCGAAAGCGGCCUCCUGGGUCGCACCUGACGCUCAGAUGCGAAAGCUAGGGGAGCGAACGG